rnacentral:rRNA from 1 species
AGGGGCAGCAUGGUCUUAGCUUGCUAAGGCUGAUGGCGACCGGCGCACGGGUGAGUAACACGUAUCCAACCUCCCGCAUACUCGGGAAUAGCCUUUCGAAAGAAAGAUUAAUACCCGAUGGCAUAGUUCUUCCGCAUGGUAGAACUAUUAAAGAAUUUCGGUCAUCGAUGGGGAUGCGUUCCAUUAGGCAGUUGGUGAGGUAACGGCUCACCAAACCUUCGAUGGAUAGGGGUUCUGAGAGGAAGGUCCCCACAUUGGAACUGAGACACGGCCCAAACUCC